UACGAAGGGGGCUAGCGUUGUUCGGAAUCACUGGGCGUAAAGCGCACGUAGGCGGAUCUUUAAGUCAGGGGUGAAAUCCCGAGGCUCAACCUCGGAACUGCCUUUGAUACUGGGGAUCUCGAGUCCGGGAGAGGUGAGUGGAACUGCGAGUGUCGAGGUGAAAUUCGUAGAUAUUCGCAAGAACACCAGUGGCGAAGGCGGCUCACUGGCCCGGAACUGACGCUGAGGUGCGAAAGCGUGGGGAGCAAACAGG
rnacentral:rRNA from 1 species